UGGGGAAUUUUCCGCAAUGGGGGCAACCCUGACGGAGCAACGCCGCGUGGGGGAGGAAUGUCUGUGGAUUGUAAACCCCUUUUCUCAGGGAAGAAGUUCUGACGGUACCUGAGGAAUCAGCAUCGGCUAACUCCGUGCCAGCAGCCGCGGUAAGACGGAGGAUGCAAGCGUUAUCCGGAAUUAUUGGGCGUAAAGCGUCCGUAGGCGGUUUUUCAAGUCUGCCGUUAAAGACCACAGCUUAACUGUGGGCCGGCGGUGGAAACUGUUGAACUGGAGUACGUUCGGGGUAGAGGGAAUUCCUGGUGUAGCGGUGAAAUGCGUAGAUAUCAGGAAGAACACCGGUGGCGAAAGCGCUCUACUAGGCCGUAACUGACACUGAGAGACGAAAGCUAAGGGAGCGAAUGGGAUUAGAUACCCCCGUAGUCC
rnacentral:rRNA from 1 species